GACGAACGCUGGCGGCGUGCUUAACACAUGCAAGUCGAGCGGUAAGGCCCUUUCGGGGGUACACGAGCGGCGAACGGGUGAGUAACACGUGGGUGACCUGCCCUCAGCUCUGGGAUAAGCCUGGGAAACUGGGUCUAAUACUGGAUAUGACUCCACGGUGCAUGUCGUGGGGUGGAAAGCCUUGUGCGGCUGAGGAUGGGCCCGCGGCCUAUCAGCUUGUUGGUGGGGUGANGGCCUACCAAGGCGACGACGGGUAGCCGGCCUGAGAGGGCGACCGGCCACACUGGGACUGAGACACGGCCCAGACUCCUACGGGAGGCAGCAGUGGGGAAUCUUGCGCAAUGCGCGAAAGCGUGACGCAGCAACGCCGCGUGGGGAAGACGGCCU
rnacentral:rRNA from 1 species